UGCUUCCCACUAUGAUGAUAAAGGACUGAACUCUGAAACUAACAAAUGCUGUGGGUUGAAUAUAAAUUCAAAGGUAUAAUCAUGCAUGCACUCAGUCCUCUGCAGAAAGCAACAAUUGGCCAAAUUGCAGAAAACAACUAAUCACAACAUAUCAUCCAGUCCUAACUGGUACAUCUGCAAUAUAAUACCCUCACCCAAGAAACAUGAUAGAAGAUGAAAAUUAUAAGAGCUAGAAGAUCA